rnacentral:rRNA from 1 species
UACGUAGGGUGCGAGCGUUAAUCGGAAUUACUGGGCGUAAAGCGUGCGCAGGCGGUUUUGUAAGCCAGAUGUGAAAGCCCCGGGCUUAACCUGGGAAUGGCAUUUGGGACUGCAAGGCUUGAGUGCGGCAGAGGAGACUGGAAUUCCUGGUGUAGCAGUGAAAUGCGUAGAUAUCAGGAGGAAUACCGAUGGCGAAGGCAGGUCUCUGGGCUGACACUGACGCUCAUGCACGAAAGCCAGGGGAGCAAACGGG